AGGAUUUGCGCUGACCAAAGCUUCGGCAGAGGUCUUGUAGAUCCUAGCGGCGAACGGUCGCGUAACACGUAAGCAACCUGCCCUGAAGUGUGGGAUAGCCCUCCGAAAGGAGGAGUAAUACCGCAUGUGGAUACAAUGUCGCAUGGCGAUGUAUCUAAAGCAGCAAUGCGCUUCAGGAUGGGCUUGCGGCCUAUCAGCUAGUUGGUGGGGCAAAGGCCUACCAAGGCGACGACGGGUAGCUGGUCUGAGAGGAUGGUCAGCCGGAUUGGGACUGAGAUACGGCCCAGACCCCUACGGGGGGCAGCAAUUAGGAAUCUUGCGCAAUGGGCGAAAGCCUGACGCAGCGACGCCGCGUGAGCGAUGAAGUCUUUCGGGAUGUAAAGCUCUGUCCUGGGGGGACGAAGAAUGUGACGGUACCCCCAGAGAAAGCCCCGGCUAACUACGUGCCAGCAGCCGCGGUAAUACGUAGGGGGCGAGCGUUGUCCGAAUUUACUGGGCGUAAAGCGCGUGUAGGCGGUCCUUUAAGUCAGAUGUGAAAUCCUGUGGCUCAACCACAGAACUGCAUUUGAAACUGAAGGGCUUGAGUGUGGGAGAGGAAAGUGGAAUUCCUGGUGUAGCGGUGAAAUGCGUAGAUAUCAGGAGGAACACCCGUGGCGAAGGCGGCUUUCUGGCCCACCACUGACGCUGAGACGCGAAAGCUAGGGGAGCGAACGGGAUUAGAUACCCCGGUAGUCCUAGCCGUAAACGAUGGAUACUAGGUGUUAGAGGUAUCGACCCCUCUAGUGCCGUAGCUAACGCAUU
rnacentral:rRNA from 1 species